GUGGAGAUUGCCUCAGCAGCUCCCAGUGAUGCAUCCAUAUCGGAGAGAACUCUGUCAUGGUAUUUUUCAUCUGGAACCUUCGAAAGUUAAUACACGUGGAACUGGACUUCUUAUUAAGGAUCUCAGCAGUACCUUAUUAUCAGAAGUGCAAACAAAUAAUCAUAAGGGGCACCAAUGUGACCUGCUAAGAAUAAUGAACAUACCAUGUCAGAAAUUCGUGGUCAUCUCUGACGAUGGCUGUGGAGCUGAUCUUCCCAAGCCUGAGUGGCAGCCAGACAAUUGCUGAGGCAAGUGCUCACCUUUCGGGACAUUGUCUCUCACAAAAAUGUCCAAAAUGUUAAAACAGGAGGCAUCAGAUGCCACAUGCAUAAGAAAAGGGUUGUCAGCUGUGGCAGGCUUCAGCUGAAGGCAGUUAACUUCUUGCCUGGAUCCUCUGCCUAGAUCUUUUGUGUAUCAAGAAAUAAUCCAUGUUUGUCCUGAAUAAUUUUGGAAGUUGUUCUGGGAAGAUCUGGGACAUGGAUGAACAUUUUCAGGGCUGUUUUGUUGAAGAUCUGCUCUGGAAUGUCCAGAGAAGCAUCCUUUUUGUCCUCACUUCAUCUCUUUGCAACACAUACCAGUUUUCCUACAAAAUCUCUCAUCCACAACGUGAAUUUAUUUUUUUGAUCAAAACUAAUCAGGUCUUGUUGAUGUGCAGCAGGAUUAGUUCAGUAGUUUUGGUUGAAUUUUAUCUACCACAGUGGAAUUUUUGAUAGCAUUGGUGCUUUUGUUCUGCAGUUAUCCAUUUGUCUAUAUACUUUUGUUAUUCUUGUCUUUAAUAAGAACUAAGUAUACUCAGUGUGCUAAUAUUGUCUGUUAUCCAUUUUCACCUUUGUUCUUAUAUGUGCAAUUGAUAGAACUUGCUGGGAGUAUUUUGAUGUCUACUUCUCUUUUUUAUUAGGCUGCUGUGUUAUACAACAUAAUUAAAUCCAGACAUGGGGGCAGUUUGGUCAUGAAUGAGUGACAGCUUUAGCCAUAUGUUACUUGGAUCAGGGACUUAAGUUUUAAUUGAAUUUUCACACAUGGCGGUGGUCCUGGAUACAAAUUAUAGGUGCUGUGGAUUAUAUGCUUAUAAGGACUGCAUUUAGGACAGAAAACAAUUGGUGAAGCAUGUUAUGGGUUCAGAAUUCACCCCAAAGAAAGAGCAGAAAUUUUUCAACCAGGAAGUUGCGACAAGGCCAGUCCUGUAAGGUGUCCUAUCUACAAUAUAGUGGGAAACACAGGUCAGGGCAGAAAGAAAAGGGACCACUGCCUACCUUCCUUGCCUGCAGCAGAGGGAAUUACAGUGGAUAAGCAGCCUUCAGGCCUAUGCUGUUUUAAAUCUGUGUUUAACAGGGUCCAGUAGUUUCUUUGAUUUCUCUCUCUCCUAUUCUGUAUGCCUGGCCUUUCAGCUGGCUGGGAAUGCUGAAGGAAACAGGCAUCAGCAAUAUACAGAUACUGGUUCUGCUGUUCCCAUGCUGGGAAGAUGAUCCCUUGACCUCUACAGGCAAACUGUAAGCCUUCUCCUUACUGGGAUCACUGGCUUAUGGACUAAGCUGUCUGCGUUGUAGCCUUGUCUUGGUUGGUAGUGUGGGAAAUGCACAGUCUAGCUAAUCGCCCUCUUUUAGGGCGCAUAUGGGAGAUGUGUAAAAUAAACUGCAGCCACCAGGUGGCCCACAGAUUCCUCUCUCUAGCUCACUUCUCUCAACAUGAACCACAUAGUUCUCAACCUCUCUCUCUGGGUGCAUUACUUUUGGUUCAGAACUUUUUAUGGGUAUGCCGCAUGAAAAAGUAUUACACAGGUGGUUCCUGGUCACUUGCUUUUGAAAGGAAGCUUACUUACAUAAAUGUCAGUUUGUGGGGAAAAAAGUAAUACUGAGACAUGAUGGUUUAGUAGAUGGUUUAAUACAAUUCAUACAUAGUUUUAUACGAUUUGUAAUAUGACAUAAUUGUUCAUUAAAAAUGAGAUUUUGGCACUGACAAUAA